AACACGGUGUCUCAGUGGUUAGCACUGUUGCCUCACAGCAAGAAGGUCCUGGGUUCAAAUCCCAGCUGUUCCA
rnacentral:tRNA from 1 species